GUACCGUUAAAAUGAAUAUUUUAUUAACAUGUAACAAAUUACGUAAAAAUAAAGGGGAGAAAACCACGUCUUGCUAUUUUUUUUUUCGCUAACGCGCGGAAUGCAGAAAAAAAACAAAAAAAAAAAAAACAAUUCAUUCAUCCGACAAGUUGCUCUUUGCAUUUGCAACCCCUUUCAAACCGAACCUAACCUAACCGACUUCACGGGUCGAUACGCGCACCGCGUUCAGAACUCGUAAUGUUCGCAAAUAACAAUCGCAAUAACGCAGGUAUAAUAAUGCGGUGUGUGUACACGUAAUUAAACAAAUUGUCUAUUUAAUACAAUUAGCCUACAAUAUAUUAUUAUAAUAAUUAUAUAUAUACCGUUAACUAAACAAAACUAUACAAUAUUAUUGCGUGAAAUUAACAUGGUUACACAACUGAUCAUUAAAACUAUUAGUAUUCCACUUAUAUUAUAAUAAUAAUUAUAGUUUACAUACAUUAUAUUAUUUUAUAGAUUAACAAUGGAUAUUGUUCUUUGUACAAAAAUUUGACUAUAACAACGAACGAAUCUACAUAAAUAUUAUUAUUAUUAUUUUAUUUAUUUAUUUUUUUUUUUUUUUUUUUUUUUUUUUUUUUAUAUAUAUAUACCAUUUUAUACGUAUACUUAAAAUUAUACAUAAUAAUGUUAUAUUAUCAUAUUAGGAUAAGAAAACAAUUCUGUAUUAUACGGCGUGCAUAAUAACCACGCAACAUAAUACUGUACGAUCGUUUUCGCGUCCGGAGGAGGUAGGACACGCAUUAUACAGCGGCGCGACUGGACACUAACGGGCGAGCGCCCGUCGAGUCGGAUCCGAAACGCGGCGGGACCGCCAAACCCGACAAUUUCUGAACGGUCCGGGCGAUAGCGGAUCGCUCCGUUCCCGCCUCGAAACAUCUUCUAUUUUUUUUUUUUUUUUAACAUUUACACGCGCCGAUGACAACAAAAAUAUUGUGAAACGCGGACGAAAGUCCGUUGCGAUAAAACCGUUAAAACACAAUGUACUAUUAUUACCGUUGUUCUUAUCGUUCGGUACCUUCGAGCGGUCCUGAUAUUGCCCGAGCGGUCCCUUUGUCGUGUCCCCGGUUGCCCCGAUUCGCCUGCCGGUCGCGCCGCCGAGUCUCCGCUAUACCGUAUAAUGUUACGAUAACAUAGUGGAACAGGUAUUAUAAUAUAUAGGCAAUAAUCAUUAACAGUAAUCGUAAUUAUAACGCUAUUAGAGUUAUUGACGUAGUUAUAGAAUUACAAAAGUACAGCUAAAUUCAAGGACGCGAUAAUAUUAAAACAAUAAAAUUGAUUUUUGGUUGGUUUUCGCUGGAAUCGCAUAAAAAAAAAAAAAUCGGGCGGGCUGGGGUAUUGUAUAAUAUUAUGUUAACAUUGGGUCGCGUAAAAUAAAAAUAAUAACACGGGUACUAAAUAAAGGCAGGUAGAAAUUAUUGAGUUUUUUUUUUUUUUUGUUUUUUUUACUGAAACUUUAAUAUUGAUAUGUGAUUGUUUAAUAACGAGUGUAAAAAAACAAAUAUUUGUAUAUAUUUAUAUUUAAAUUAUCGUAUUAUAUUAUUAAGGCGGAUUUCGAUACACGUGAUGAAUAAUAUUCUAUAAACUGAAAACGUUCGAUUGCGAUAUUACGACGGAUAAAUAACUCUAUUGUUGUUAAUAUUAUUAUUUUGCGAGAAAAACGAAAAAGUUUAAUAUUUUGUCGAGAAACAAAAUAUGGAAUUACAGGAUAAUGUCGAACUUUCGUUUAGUAGAACCGAUUUUCGCGCCGUCCGUUUUAUUAUUGGAAUGAACAGGCCCGGUAUCAAACGUCAAGGUAAGAACAUUGUAGGUGUUUCUACGUUGAUUUUUACUUUCGAUAUUCGAAUAUUUAAACGGUUUUUAAAUUGUAAUAUUUCGCACGCUCGUCUCUCACUAAAAAUCCAAAUAUCUAAAACACGCACAAAAAAAAAAAAAACCACCGUACAAACACGGAUAACGUUCUUGCCUUAAUAUUCAAAAGUAGGCCGAUUCGAUCUAAGGUCCAAUAUUAAGUUUAUACAGCAUUACACCGGAUUUUCCAAACGAAAAUAUUGACGUUAUCAAAUUUCUAACACUAGCCGUAACAUAAUAUUGUAUACUGGUGGGGCGUAUCCGAAUUGGUUACCAAACGCCCGAAUCGGUUCCCGGGUUGUUACCACGGGUAUAUCCGAAUAGAAACCGACCCAAAUUUUUAAAAGCGAUUUCGAUUUUCUUUCCCAUUUUAUACAGAUUUAGGAUUGACUACACAGUAUUAAUCAUUGAUUAUGUACAUUUAUAUACAAUAACGUAAUACACAAUCAAUCAGUGGUGUGAUCAUUGGUAGGUAGGGAAUACGGGUGUCGAAUUCCUCCCUGUCGUUUAUUUUUGUUUUUUUUUUUUUUUUUCAGUUACGGUAUAAAACGCAUUGGAGCUAAAAGAGUGUUAAACAUAAAUACAAAUUAAAUUUUUUUACAUUGUAUAAUCUGUAUAACAAUAAAAUACAUAUAUUUCUAUCUACCGUUUAGUUAUUGAUUAAUUUGUUUAAAAAUGUAAGAUCAAGUAUCAAGUGUUUAUCGGGGACAGACUCGGAUGCCGAAUUUUUUAGUACGGGAACCGAUUCGGAUGUAGCCUUUAUUAUUAUUGUCAUUAAUAUUACAUAUUAUUAUUAUUAUCAUCAUCCUGUCGGAAAAUAUACCGUCAAGUCGUAUACAAAGGCGCGUACUACGAACACGUGUCUGAUUCUGUUUGGGAGUUUGUUUUUUUUUUCAAUUAAAUUAAACAAAUAUUUAUUAUUUGCUUCCGGCGAGUCCGUACAAAUACGUACAACGUAAUACGUACAGCACGCAUAACAUUAUAUACGUACUCGUAUGUAAUAGGUGUGGGUCGGUAGGAAUGCAUACAGAUAACCGGCCGGAAAGUCUACUGUCCGGCCAAUGACGAAAUCCAAGUCCAAAUCGUAUUCGGCCCCCCCUCCCCGUCGCGCUAUUAUAUUGCCUACUAUACAUGCCAUUAUAAAUAAAGUCGAAAUAUAAGAAUUUGUUUACGAAAAUCCGUAAGAGCGAUAUACGUAAUUAAUUAUUUACACGGGUUAUAAUUAUUAUUAAACAAUAUAAUAUUAACGUAUAGGAAUGAGAGAAUUAUAUAUAAUCGAGAGAACAGAAAAAAAAAAAAAUGUACACAUAUAUAUAAAUAAACGACGAUAGUGACGAGAUGAUUUUUUUUAGUUUUGUAUAAUAUUAUAUGAAUGCGUAAUAUUUUAACGUAGUUUCAACGGUACGGAUAAUAUUAUAAUGCAAUUUAUCGGUUAUGCGUGCUGUUGUCCUUAUACGAAUAAUGCCCUUAGAAACGACAGAUUUUUUUUUUUAUUAUUAUUAUUAUUGUUAUUUUUUAUGACGCACGGUAGGAGAUGUGACCGCGGUCACUCCGGCAAAAAAACAGGCGAAACGGUAAAAAAAAAAAACCCACAUUGCUGCACGAAACGCUUCCGAAAUUGAUUCGAAAAUGACACGUCGACCGAAAAAAUCGUCCGUUAUAAUAUUUUUAUAUUCUACGGGGAUGAACACAGUGCGCACUACCGUAGUCUCCGUGUCUAAUAAAGCAGUGGAGGUAUCUCCAACUGCAGGGAUACACGACUGUAUGAUGCAAUAUCUCUUGUCCCAGGGAAGAAGUAUUUGAUGUCAAUUUCGUAUAGUUUUCGAUACGGGCGGCAAAUUAAAUUUUGAAAAAUGCUAAAUCAUUAACCAAACGGCCUAAUCUGUUGCGCGGGCGUUCUAAAUGACGGCCAAUGGCGUAUUUAUUGCCCUUCGGAACCUUUUGUUUUGAAAUUUUAAAAUCGAACUCGAUUUUCCACACACGCAGGUUCUUAAUAGUGUCCCGGCAUCCCUGGCAUAUUGUUAAAACACAUGCAGUGUUCCACUGUUAGAUAAAAGCAAAUCAGAACGAUUAUUGACCGAAUGAUAACCUUUGAAUAAUGUAUACUAAAAUGUCAUCGCUAAUAAGGGGUGUACCCAACCACCUACUUCUGCAAGAAACGACACGGUCACGGUACAAUUGGGCCAUACAAAACCACAAUCCUAUUGUUACCGUGCGGUUCGACGCAAUAUUUUGGGCCGAAAAUUACAUAACAGGCGGUUACAAAACUAAUGUCAAAUAUUGACUCGAGCCCUUCUAUCACGAGGCUUCUCCGAAACCGAUUUCUCAACUCGUAUGAUACCGAGUGUUCGUCAAGUAAUUUUGGCUAAAAUCGCUUUGCGGCGUGUCCGUGAGAAUUCGCAACAGGCACAACAUUGUAGAGUACGAAUUACACACGUGUGAACUGUGCGUUUUGAAAUUCGAAUGAAAAAAAUGCAAUGUAUCAUUAAAACCUAUGGAAAAAGAAAAACUAUACAAUUUGAUCAAGUUCAAAAUAACACUUUUUAAUGUUAUAUUUUAGAGGUUUUGAAAAAAAAUAAACAAAUAAAAUUAUUUGCCAAUAAUAAAUCGGAAGAAAGCGAGAAAAAAUCAAAGAAUUAGAAAAACUCGGUUUCCCGACAGUUGAAGAAUGUUGUUUUCCUGGAUAAAUCGCACGGAUUGUUGUCACGGAACUCGAACCGUACGAAUUGGAGGACACGGGGAAAAAUAGCGUUUUUUUUUUAUUUUGCGCAAAGGCGUCUAAUUUACAUGGUUUACGGGCGAUUAAGUGACUGGACCGUAUAAUUUUUUUUUUUCGUUUUCGAAAUUUGCGGUUUUAUGAUGUGGGGGAGGGGUUAGCAGUGAUGUACUUGUAAACUGUGCCAUAUGGUACGGUAACUAUUUUUCUCGCUUUAAAGCAAACAGAUAUUUCGGAAUUUAAACGAUGCAACGCGCAACGUGUAACGUCACGUACAUACGCGUGUGACGGUUAUCACGAGAAAAAACGGAAGUCGAGGAAAGCUAAACGCCUAACGCGCUCUGUCUCUCUCUCUCUGUAAUAUUAUCCCCCGUAACGAACACGCGAACGGAUUUGGACGGCUACAGAGCAGUACCGUGGUUUUCGCACACCCCGACCGACGUCCCGCUGUUCUUUUCUAACCGCGUACCUAUUUCGUUGAAAUACCACGCUGGCGAUACCCGCGGAAACCGACGUCGUGCGUCGUCACCGCCGCAUCUCGUCCGUGCAACGGCAAUACAACAAUCGUCAUUUUUUUUUUUUUUUAACACGCGACUACAGUGCAAUUCAUCGUUAGGCUACGCGGCGUUUAUUGCAUACCGCGGAACCGUAGAUUCCGUGAUAUUAUUUCGUUGCGGUUGGUCAGCUUGGGGCUUAAUAUUUUAUCGCCGUUUCCGAUUUCUACGCGUUGAGCCUGAAACGAGCGAUCGUUUCGGAUUUUCAAAUGGCGGCGCACCGAUUCCAAUCGGAGAUGUUGACAUCGAAAACGUUUUCCCAGACGCGCUUGAUACGCACAGCACUAACGACGCGGGGUCCGCCGUUUAUGCGAGCGAAGGAGUUAUCGAUAUUGUUGCCGUCCGCCAACGCGCUACGCAAUUCAUGCGUUUCGCUACGGCCUCCGGUCCGCGCUUUAAACUGUCACGAC
rnacentral:lncRNA from 1 species